GGGCGGCCGCGCGGCGCGGAGCUGCCGCCGCCGCUGCCGCCGCCGCCGCCGCCGCAGCCGGCGCCGCAGAGCGGAGAGGCCAUGUUGUGUGGUGUGUGGGGCGGGGGGGAGGAGGAGGAGGGAGCGAAGCCGAGCGAGGAGACGGCGGGGAGACGGCACACACUCGGCACAAGAUGGCCGGAGAGGCAGCAGCAGCCCGAGCUGUCAGGCGCGCCGCCGCGGCCUGGGGGCUCGCCGGGCGCUGCCGGGGCGCCGCCGGCUGAGGCGAGGCGGGCGCGGACGGCGGCGCCGGAGCUCGCGGCCGAGGCGGCCGGGCCGGGCUGGGCCCAGCGACGCCGCCAACGGCGCGGCGGCCGCCGAGACGCUGGCCCCGGAGCCCGGGCGGCGCGGGAGUCGGGGCGGUCCCGGCGCGGGAGCGGGCGCCGGGCGACCCCGCGGGGCCGGCGGCCGCGCUCGGACCCGGAAUUUACAAGAUUAAAAUAAAUUUGGUUGAUGUUUCUGAACAAAUUCAGCUCUUUUGAGGUAUGCCAUUUUGAAGACUGAGACCUGAAUUUUAUCUUUCAAAAUAAAGAAAAUCUUUGUGAAAAUAUUUUGUAUAACAAAGAUGUGGAACCUGAAUUCUUAAAGGGCCCGUACAACCUGAUUGGUGUUGGUGGAAGCACUUUCACCCAGUCAGCUUGAAGAGUCUCAAAUGGACCCUACCACUGAGAAAUCAAGAUGGCAGCCUACUGUGGGGGAUUGAGGAAAAUGGAUUAAAACGAGUGCUGUGAUAAUAUGCAACCCAGACAGGGUUCUUUUUACAUGGAGCUCAUGAAAUGAAUGAAGACAUAGGUUUCUUACCAGUGGACAGUUCAUUUGAUUUUCUAAAGACUGUAUCAUUAAAACAAGUACAUUUUUGACAUUUGGAGAUGAUGAUAAAUUUUCACAGAUGAUAGUCUGUAUACCUGGAAUAUUUUGUAGUUUGACUUGUAUGAGUACGACCUUGUGGAAUGUUAACUUGAAUAAAAUUUCUAAUACUUCAAA